rnacentral:rRNA from 1 species
GACGAACGCUGGCGGCGUGCUUAACACAUGCAAGUCGAGCGGUAAGGCCCUUUCGGGGGUACACGAGCGGCGAACGGGUGAGUAACACGUGGGUGACCUGCCCUCAGCUCUGGGAUAAGCCUGGGAAACUGGGUCUAAUACUGGAUAUGACUCCACGGUGCAUGUCGUGGGGUGGAAAGCCUUGUGCGGCUGAGGAUGGGCCCGCGGCCUAUCAGCUUGUUGGUGGGGUGAGGCCUACCAAGGCGACGACGGGUAGCCGGCCUGAGAGGGCGACCGGCCACACUGGGACUGAGACACGGCCCAGACUCCUACGGGAGGCAGCAGUGGGGAAUCUUGCGCAAUGGGCGAAAGCCUGACGCAGCGACGCCGCGUGAGGGAUGGCGGCCUUAGGG